GCUGGGUGUGGUGGCGCACACCUGUAGUCCCAGCUACUCGGGAGGCUGAGGCAGGGGAAUCGCUUGAACCUGGGAGGCAGAGGUUGCAGUGAACCAAGAUUGCACCACUGCACUCCAGCUCUGGUGACAGAGCAAGACUCUGUCUCAA
rnacentral:SRP_RNA from 1 species